rnacentral:rRNA from 1 species
GAUGAACGCUGGCGGCGUGCCUAAUACAUGCAAGUCGAGCGAACAGACGAGGAGCUUGCUCCUCUGACGUUAGCGGCGGACGGGUGAGUAACACGUGGAUAACCUACCUAUAAGACUGGGAUAACUUCGGGAAACCGGAGCUAAUACCGGAUAAUAUAUUGAACCGCAUGGUUCAAUAGUGAAAGACGGUUUUGCUGUCACUUAUAGAUGGAUCCGCGCGGCAUUAGCUAGUUGGUAAGGUAACGGCUUACCAAGGCAACGAUGCAUAGCCGACCUGAGAGGGGGAUCGGCCACACUGGAACUGAGACACGGUCCAGACUCCUACGGGAGGCAGCAGUAGGGAAUCUUCCGCAAUGGGCGAAAGCUUGACGGAGCAACGCCGCGUGAGUGAUGAAGGUCUUCGGAUCGUAAAACUCUGUUAUUAGGGAAGAACAAAUGUGUAAGUAACUGUGCACGUCUUGACGGUACCUAAUCAGAAAGCCACGGCUAACUACGUG